rnacentral:lncRNA from 1 species
GGGGAGGUGGAGAGUUUUGGUUUUUUUUAUUUCUUAUUUUUUUUAAAGCAGAUUAGAAUAAGAUUUAGGGAUUUUUUUAGUUUUUAUAGCAUUUAAAACGGCGCCGUUUUAGCCCCAUAACCCGCGCGUCGACCCGACCCGCGACCCAGGGUCCGCGUUUUUUUGUGCAGGUGGGUUAUUUACGUGCGCGGUCCUUCCGCUUUUGAAGCG